UGAGGAAUAUUGGUCAAUGGGCGAGAGCCUGAACCAGCCAAGUAGCGUGCAGGAUGACGGCCCUAUGGGUUGUAAACUGCUUUUAUAUGGGAAUAAAGUGAGGGACGUGUCCCUUAUUGCAUGUACCAUACGAAUAAGGACCGGCUAAUUCCGUGCCAGCAGCCGCGGUAAUACGGAAGGUCCAGGCGUUAUCCGGAUUUAUUGGGUUUAAAGGGAGCGUAGGCUGUCUAUUAAGCGUGUUGUGAAAUUUACCGGCUCAACCGGUGGCUUGCAGCGCGAACUGGUCGACUUGAGUAUGCAGGAAGUAGGCGGAAUUCAUGGUGUAGCGGUGAAAUGCUUAGAUAUCAUGACGAACUCCGAUUGCGCAGGCAGCUUACUGUAGCAUAACUGACGCUGAUGCUCGAAGGUGCGGGUAUCGAACAGG
rnacentral:rRNA from 1 species